rnacentral:rRNA from 1 species
GCUGCGGCAGCGACACUAUGUGUUGUUGGGUAGGGGAGCGUUCUGUAAGCCUGUGAAGGUGUGUCGUGAGGCAUGCUGGAGGUAUCAGAAGUGCGAAUGCUGACAUAAGUAACGAUAAAGCGGGUGAAAAGCCCGCUCGCCGGAAGACCAAGGGUUCCUGUCCAACGUUAAUCGGGGCAGGGUGAGUCGACCCCUAAGGCGAGGCCGAAAGGCGUAGUCGAUGGGAAACGGGUUAAUAUUCCCGUACUUGGUGUUACUGCGAAGGGGGGACGGAGAAGGCUAUGUUGGCCGGGCGACGGUUGUCCCGGUUUAAGCGUGUAGGUGUGUGUUCCAGGUAAAUCCGGUUCACUUUAACACUGAGGCGUGACGACGAGGCACUACGGUGCUGAAGCAACAAAUGCCCUGCUUCCAGGAAAAGCCUCUAAGCAUCAGGUAACAUCAAAUCGUACCCCAAACCGACACAGGUGGUCAGGUAGAGAAUACCAAGGCGCUUGAGAGAACUCGGGUGAAGGAACUAGGCAAAAUGGUGCCGUAACUUCGGGAGAAGGCACGCUGACACGUAGGUGAAGUGAUUUACUCAUGGAGCUGAAGUCAGUCGAAGAUACCAGCUGGCUGCAACUGUUUAUUAAAAACACAGCACUGUGCAAACACGAAAGUGGACGUAUACGGUGUGACGCCUGCCCGGUGCCGGAAGGUUAAUUGAUGGGGUCAGCGCAAGCGAAGCUCCUGAUCGAAGCCCCGGUAAACGGCGGCCGUAACUAUAACGGUCCUAAGGUAGCGAAAUUCCUUGUCGGGUAAGUUCCGACCUGCACGAAUGGCGUAAUGAUGGCCAGGCUGUCUCCACCCGAGACUCAGUGAAAUUGAACUCGCUGUGAAGAUGCAGUGUACCCGCGGCAAGACGGAAAGACCCCGUGAACCUUUACUAUAGCUUGACACUGAACAUUGAGCCUUGAUGUGUAGGAUAGGUGGGAGGCUUUGAAGCGUGGACGCCAGUCUGCGUGGAGCCGACCUUGAAAUACCACCCUUUAAUGUUUGAUGUUCUAACGUGGACCCGUGAUCCGGGUUGCGGACAGUGUCUGGUGGGUAGUUUGACUGGGGCGGUCUCCUCCUAAAGAGUAACGGAGGAGCACGAAGGUUGGCUAAUCCUGGUCGGACAUCAGGAGGUUAGUGCAAUGGCAUAAGCCAGCUUGACUGCGAGCGUGACGGCGCGAGCAGGUGCGAAAGCAGGUCAUAGUGAUCCGGUGGUUCUGAAUGGAAGGGCCAUCGCUCAACGGAUAAAAGGUACUCCGGGGAUAACAGGCUGAUACCGCCCAAGAGUUCAUAUCGACGGCGGUGUUUGGCACCUCGAUGUCGGCUCAUCACAUCCUGGGGCUGAAGUAGGUCCCAAGGGUAUGGCUGUUCGCCAUUUAAAGUGGUACGCGAGCUGGGUUUAGAACGUCGUGAGACAGUUCGGUCCCUAUCUGCCGUGGGCGCUGGAGAACUGAGGGGGGCUGCUCCUAGUACGAGAGGACCGGAGUGGACGCAUCACUGGUGUUCGGGUUGUCAUGCCAAUGGCACUGCCCGGUAGCUAAAUGCGGAAGAGAUAAGUGCUGAAAGCAUCUAAGCACGAAACUUGCCCCGAG